rnacentral:rRNA from 1 species
UUUAAUUCGAAGCAACGCGAAGAACCUUACCAGGACUUGACAUCCCUCUGAAAUCCCGAGUAAAGUUGGGAGUUCUACGGACAGAGGAGACAGGUGGUGCAUGGUUGUCGUCAGCUCGUGUCGUGAGAUGUUGGGUUAAGUCCCGCAACGAGCGCAACCCUUGUCAUUAGUUACCAGCGGGUAGAGCCGGGGACUUUAAUGAGACUGCCGUGGAUAACACGGAGGAAGGUGGGGAUGACGUCAAAUCAUCAUGCCCCUUAUGUUCUGGGCUACACACGUGCUACAAUGGUCGGUACAAAGAGAAGCGAGCCUGUGAAGGUAAGCAAAACUAAAAAACCGAUCCCAGUUCGGAUUGCAGGCUGAAACUCGCAUGCAUGAAGAUGGAGUUGCUAGUAAUCGCAGAUCAGAAUGUUGCGGUGAAUGCGUUCCCGGGUCUUGUACACACCGCCCGUCACACCAUGGAAGUUGGGGGUGCCCGAAGUCGGUUAGUAAAUAUACUGCCUAAGGCAAAACCAAUGACUGGGGUGAAGUCGUAACAAGGUAGCCG